AGCUUUGCGCAGUGGCAGUAUCGUAGCCCAUGAGGUUUAUCUGAGGCGCGAUUAUCGCUAAUUGAAAACUUUCUAUUCCUCUUAAUUGCAUGAGGAGGAAGAUGCUGCCUGAGUUUCCUUCCUACUGGAAAGCAGCUGAGCUG